GCAGGUGGCCGCAGAGAAUAGGCCCAAGCGACUGUUUACCAAAAACAUAGGUUUCUGCUAAGUCGCAAGACGAUGUAUAGGAGCUGACGCCUGCCCGGUGCUGGAAGGUUAAGGGGAUCUGUUAGAGCAAUCGAAGCAGUGAACUUAAGCCCCAGGAAACGGCGGCCGUAACUAUAACGGUCCUAAGGUAGCGAAAUUCCUUGUCGGGUAAGUUCCGACCCGAACGAAAGGCGUAACGAUUUGGGCACUGUCUCAACAACAGACUCGGUGAAAUUGUAAUUCC
rnacentral:rRNA from 1 species